rnacentral:lncRNA from 1 species
AUGAAUAUCUUUGGCCUGUAGUGCAAAGAUGAAUAUUUGAUUCCAGAUAUAUAUUGAUUGAUGUUACAGGGAUAAAAGAUAGACGAUGAACUUUAAAUUCAUACAUAGAAGAUAGUAGUUUGCAUUCUCUACUUAACUCUUCUAAUGAAUUAUUAUUUCCGCGCGAAUAUUGAUUUAAAACUUGUUGUCUAUUGUAUUCUAUUAGAUUUUUCCCUGUUGAAGACUAACGAUAAUUUGUUGUAUAUUAUCUUAGUUAUAA